AACAAACGCUGGCGGCGUGCCUAAUACAUGCAAGUCGAACGGGGAAAGCUUUCGGGUGAGUACUAGUGGCGCACGGGUGAGUAACGCGUGGAUAAUCUGCCUUAGAGUGGGGGAUAACCAGUCGAAAGAUUAGCUAAUACCGCAUAAGACCACAAGAACUGCGGUUCAAGGGGUCAAAGGUUUUUCGCUCUAAGAUGAGUCCGCGUAAGAUUAGCUAGUUGGUAGGGUAACGGCCUACCAAGGCGACGAUCUUUAACUGGUCUGAGAGGAUGAUCAGUCACACUGGAACUGAGACACGGUCCAGACUCCUACGGGAGGCAGCAGUAGGGAAUAUAGCACAAUGGAGGAAACUCUGAUGCAGCGACGCCGCGUGAGUGAUGAAGGCCUUCGGGUCGUAAAGCUCUGUCGCAGGGGAAUAACACAAUGAAGGUACCCUGUAAGAAAGGAUCGGCUAACUUCGUGCCAGCCGCCGCUGUAACAC
rnacentral:rRNA from 1 species